AUGAAUCUCUUGGCAUGAAACUGUUGAGGCUUGGGGUUGGACUCGACAGUUGGCGAAUUACGAGACCUGAUACGGUCCCACAACCCACCAAUGGUUUUCUUAAGUGAAACAAAGAAGAAAUCAAGAGCAAUAGAUAGACUCAAUUGGAGUUUGGGGUUUACUAAAGGAGUGGCAGUCGACUGUGUAGGACGGAGUGGUGGCCUAGCACUCUAG
rnacentral:rRNA from 1 species